AAAUAUCAGCAGGUAAUUCUGGG
rnacentral:ncRNA from 3 species